GUUCAAUUUCUUCAGUACAAAUUUUUCUUUUGCUCUGAUAAAACCCUAAGUUGAAAAGGAGAAGACCGGAGGAAUGAAGAAUUGCAUUGAGGAAUGAUAGAUUUCCCAGUAUUCGUUGGACCAUCUUGGACUCUUGGUUACUUCCAAAGGACUUUUCUUUUCGUGUGUCAUCACAUACUUUUGAAGCAUGGAUGGAUCAUAUGAAUCUUCAAUGUGUAAUGGAAGUAACUGUAAUGAAAUGCAAUAUAAGGGAGUUCGGUAUGAUAAGUUGUCUACAGAAGAUCUUAAAGGGCAGGAGUUUAAGACUGUGGAGGAAGCUGAAUCAUUUUACAAUGCCUAUGCAAAGGCUAUGGGUUUUGGUGUUAGAAACGACUACAAGAGAUUAAGUAUACGCAUAACAGGGAGAGUCACUUCAUUGCGGUUGGUUUGUUCUGCUCAAGGGAAAAGAAGAGAAGAGUACAUGAGUAACAAGAAAAGAGUUCGCAGGCCAAAGAAAGAAACAAGAUUCAGUUGUCCAUGCUUGUUCAAAGUAAGGUACCGUUCGAAUAUUAAUGCCUAUAUUGUUGAUGAUUUCAUAACGAACCACUCACAUCAGCUUGCACAAGCACAUGAGUCGCAUCUUCUUCGAUCACACAGAUCAGUUGAAGAUCAACAUUUAGCACUGGCCACAUCUAUGCAGAGAGUGUCUGUUAAGCCUUGUCAUACAUAUGAAUACAUUGUUGAUAGAUCAGGAGGUUUUAAGAAUGUCGGGUUUAUUAUGAAGGACUUGUACAACAAGUUAGAUUCAAGACGCCGA